UUCAGCCUCUCUUUCUAGUCUCUUCUCAUUCAGUGGCACAACUGCUUAUAAUUUGCUUUCCAAGCCAAAAACACACAGAUAUCUUCAAGUUAUAACAUCAUCCCAAAGCUUUAGGGAUGAAGAAGGAAAUCCGUCGAACAUAGUGGAUGCAAACCUAGGUGUGUUGAGAUCAAGAAUGGAGAAAGUGAUGAAGAAUGAGAAGUUGGAAAAAACACCCAAAAGAAUGAUAGAUAUUGUCGGGAAACGUAACAACUCGAAAUCAGGUGAUAAGAAUACCAUGAUCAUGGCAACCAUGGAGGUUGUGGGUUCGGUCGUUCGUUCAUUUGGUCUCGUCUUUCUCUUUGGUUCCCUUUCAAUCAUUAUUGUUUCUCUUCUUGUUCAUUUGUGUACAUUGUGAACGUAUGUGGACCUUCAUCAACCUACUCUUUAAAAGAAUCAACAUGAUCUUUAAUAAAAUGAUAUUUCAAA